rnacentral:rRNA from 1 species
UACGAAGGGGGCGAGCGUUGUUCGGAAUUACUGGGCGUAAAGCGUGCGCAGGCGGUGAUGUAAGACAGAUGUGAAAUCCCCGGGCUCAACCUGGGAACUGCAUUUGUGACUGCACAGCUUGAGUGCGGCAGAGGGGGAUGGAAUUCCGCGUGUAGCAGUGAAAUGCGUAGAUAUGCGGAGGAACACCGAUGGCGAAGGCAAUCCCCUGGGCCUGCACUGACGCUCAUGCACGAAAGCGUGGGGAGCAAACAGG